AUACCAUGAUGAGGACACCUUCUGAGCAAUUCUUUGAAUCUUUUCCAAGCCUCAUACAAACUCUCAUCCUCAAGUUGAUGGAAUGAAGUAAUCUCAUUACGCAACUU
rfam:Citrus clementina cultivar Clemenules unplaced genomic scaffold scaffold_2, whole genome shotgun sequence.